UCCUGCCCCUGCGUUGCGAGGAAGAAGAAGCCAGGGGAGAGAGAGAUGGGGCAGGUCCCGCAUGUAAGAGAGAGAAAGGGAGUGGAUAAGGCGUGCCCCGCCCGUCAGAGAGACACAGAGAGAGAGAGAGAGAGAUGUCAACCCCCCUCGGGCCUGCGCACUUUAAGUGGAAACGCCUCAGGCGUAUUUACGUUUUCCUCACGGGAAAGCGUAUUUUCCGGAGUGCGCGACCAAUGAGGCUGUGAGGGACUUGGUUGUGAUUAUUUAUAUUGCAGAUUAGUCCCUCGCAGAAAAGCUCUUAUAUCUUCUUAUCUAUAGCUCCGAUUCCGGCGAUUCCAAAGCCCACGUCUUCGUAUCAUCAGACCGUCAAGAUGGUACCAUUAUCACUAUGUGAUCACACAAUGGAAAUGACUAUAUUGCCCUUGCCGUAAACAGCCCCUCCUCUAAGAGAGAACUGUUUCUGGCGAUUCCUUCUGCGCGCUCCUCGCACUUCUUCCCGGUGGAUCCCUCAUCCCAGGCAAGCCACAACUCUAAUUUGCUUAACCGCAUUGCAAUAUCAUAGUUUAAUUAACUAUUUUAAUCACAAGUAUAUCUGUUUAUAGUCUGGAAUUAGUAUAUGCAAUGUUUGAAUAGAUGACUACUAUGAUGAGUACGGGAUUGUUAGUGACUAGUGUCUUACACACUAGUCGAUGCCACGAUGUUGAGAUUACUAUCUAUGAUUACUUUGGGUUUCAUCCGACAGUUUAUGGAUAUGGAUCAACAAUAGUAUCUUGAGCUUACUGGUUAUUGGAUUACUAUGACAUGAGAGUGUCAGUUAUGAGAGAGAUAUUAUUCAGGAAUAAGCUACUUAGUUGGUUGAUCGAGAGUCACCUGUCCGGGCUUAUCCGUGCUGCCACAUUUGCCGAUAUGGGACGGCCUUGACUUGGUCUGAUUGCGUGCUCUUUCACCGGUACCUCCAAAGAGGGAGCGUUAUGCACGCGUGUUACCUUGGCCCGGUAGGCGGUGAUAACCCUGUAAGCCAGUUGAGUUUUUUUGUGCGCACGCCCCCAUUUGGGCAAUUUAGUUUGGCCACAACGGUGGCAAGUGUCAUGAGGACACAGGGACACCCAGGGCAGGACUCCGGGGGAGGAUGAAUGUCGGUGGUACGAUGAAAGAGUCACGGGUCAGGCAUGUUUCGUUGGAGCAAUGCUGGUCCACCCGAAUGGGAUCACAAGGACAAUGCUCCAUAGUGUGGGUAAAGCGUGCAACCUAUGCAGAGUGUCAAAUAUAUUCGAAUAGUCGCGUCCACGGUAUUGGACAGCCCGUCCAAACCUCAGUAGGUGGUCAACCAUAACUAUGAUAGUAAUGAUGGAAGAACUCGUCUGAGUAUGGUAACAGUUGGGCAUCAUGCUGGUGACUGCUAUCCCACAGACAACAGCGUUAGAAAUUGACACGUUGACAGAGGCUGGGCUUGCAUUGGGUUUUCCCUUGAAGAGGAAAGGGUGAUGCAACACAGGAGCAGUAAGUAUUUCCCUCAGUUUGAGAACCAAGGUAUCGAUCCAGAAGGAGAGUCUCGUCAAGUCUAGAGUACCUGCACAAACACAAACAAGCUUGCACCCAACGCUUCAAAGGUGUUGUCAAUCCCUUCAAGAUUGUUUGCAAAGUGAGAUCUGAAGGCGGAAAGUGCAACGAAGUAAAAAGUGUAAGGCUGAAAAUAUGGUGUGGAGUAGACCCUGGAGGCCGUAGUGUUCACUAGAGGCUUCUCUCAAAAUAGCAAGUGUUACGGUGGGUGAACAAAUUACUGUCGAGCAAUUGAUAGAACCGCGCAAAGUCAUGACGAUAUCUAAGGCAAUGAUCAUACAUAUAGGCAUCACGUCCGAGACAAGUAGACCGAUACUUUCUGCAUCUAAUACUAUUACUCCACACAUCGACCGCUAUCCAGCAUGCAUCAGUGUAUUGAGUUCAUGACAAACAGAGUAACGCUUUAAGCAAGAUGACAUGAUGUAGAGGGAUAAUCUCAAACCAAUGAUGAAAACCCCAUCUUUNCUAGAGUACCUGCACAAACACAAACAAGCUUGCACCCAACGCUUCAAAGGUGUUGUCAAUCCCUUCAAGAUUGUUUGCAAAGUGAGAUCUGAAGGCGGAAAGUGCAACGAAGUAAAAAGUGUAAGGCUGAAAAUAUGGUGUGGAGUAGACCCUGGUGGCCGUAGUGUUCACUAGAGGCUUCUCUCAAAAUAGCAAGUGUUACGGUGGGUGAACAAAUUACUGUCGAGCAAUUGAUAGAACCGCGCAAAGUCAUGACGAUAUCUAAGGCAAUGAUCAUACAUAUAGGCAUCACGUCCGAGACAAGUAGACCGAUACUUUCUGCAUCUAAUACUAUUACUCCACACAUCGACCGCUAUCCAGCAUGCAUCAGUGUAUUGAGUUCAUGACAAACAGAGUAACGCUUUAAGCAAGAUGACAUGAUGUAGAGGGAUAAUCUCAAACCAAUGAUGAAAACCCCAUCUUUUUACCCUUGAUGGCAACAACACGAUGCGUGCCUCGCUACCCCUUCUGUCACUGGGUGAGGUCACCGCACGGUAUGAACCCAAAACCAAGCACUUCUCCCAUUGCAAGAAUCAUAGAUCUAGUUGGCCAGACAAAACCCACAACUCGAAGAGAAUUACAAGGAUAUGAAAUCUUGCAUAAGAGAGAUCAGAAGAAACUCAAAUAAGAUUCAUAAAUCCACAAUUCAUCGGAUCUCGACAAACACACCGCAAAACAAUAUUACAUCGGAUGGAUCUCCAUGAAGAUCAUGGAGAACUUUGAACUGAAGAUCCAAGAGAGAGAAGAAGCCAUCUAGUUACUAACUAUGGACCCGUAGGUCUAUGGUGAACUACUCACGCAUCAUCGGAGAGGUCAUGGUGUUGAUCGAGAAGCCCUCCAUGUCCGAAUCCCCCCUCCGGCAGGGCACCAGAACGUGCCCCGGAUGGGAUCUUGCGGAGACAGAAGCUUGCGGCGGCGGAAAAGUACUUUUGACGGUCUCCUGAUUUUUUCUGGAAUUUAUGGGAAUAUAUAGGCGAAAGGCCUAGGGCAAAGGGCGUCCAGGGGGGCCCACAAGCCUGGAUGGUGCGGCCUCCCCCUGGCCGCGAGGUGGGGGCUUGUGGGUCCCCUGAGGCUCCCCUGCCUUGGCUCCCAAGCUUCCCGAUCUUCUUACGUUCCAGAAAAAUCUUUUCGGGGAUUUUCUUCCGUUUGGACUCCGUUUCAAAAUGUCCUCUGAAAGGGGUCAAAAACAUGGAAAAGACAAGAACUGGCACUUGGCACUGAGUUAAUAAGUUAGUCCCAGAAAAUAUAUAAAAGGCAUGCAAAACAUCCAAAGUUUGACAAGAUAAUAGCAUGAAACCAUAAAAAAUUAUAGAUACGUUGGAGUCGUAUCAAGCAUCCCCAAGCUUAACUCCUGCUCAUCCUCGAGUAGGGAAGUGAUAAAGAAUGAAUUUUUGAUGUGGAAUGCUACCUAGCAUAGUUGUCCUUUGCAACUUCUUUCACGUGACAUGAAUGUUCAGAUCCGUAAGAUUCAAAACAAUAGUUUGCUAUUGACAUAAAAACAGUAAUACUUCGAGCAAACUAGCAAAGUAAUCAUGAACUUUCAAAAUAACAAGGCCAAAGAAAGUUAUCCCUACAAAAUCAUAUAGUCUGGCUAUGCUCCAUCAUCCUCACACAACUAAUGAAAAUCAUGCACAACCCCGGAAUUGGCCAAGUAAUUGUUUUCACACUCUUACUUUCUCAAACUUUUUAUAACUAUCACGCAAUACAUGAGCGCGAGCCAUGGAUAUAGCACUACAGGUGGAAUAGAGUGUGGUGGUGGUUGUGAGAGAGAAAGGAGGAGAUGGUCACACAACGCGAUGUAUCAAUAGGCUAUGGAGAUGCCUAUUAAUAGAUAUCAAUGUGAAUGAGUAGGGAUUUCCAUACAAGAGAUGCACUAGAGCUAUAAGUAUGUAAAAGCUCGAAAGUAGAACUAGUGGGUGUGCAUCCAACUUGCUUGCUCACGAAGACCUAGGGCAAUUUUGAGGAAGCCCAUCAUUGGAAUAUACAAGCCAAGUUAUAAAAUGAAGAUUCCCACUAGCAUAUGGUAGUGACAAAGCAAGAAGCUCUCAAUCAUGAAGAACAUGGUGCUAACAUGAAGCACAAGUGUGGAAAAAGAUAGUACCAUUGUCCCUUCUCUCUUUUUCUCUCUUUUCCUUUUUUUCAAUUGGGCUCUUAGGCCUCUUUUAUCCCUCUCUCUUUUUUUUUGGCUCUUUGGCCUCUUUUUUUUAUUUCCUCACAUGGGACAAUGCUCUAAUAAUGAUGAUCAUCACACUUUUAUUUACUCACAGCUCAAAGAUCACAAUGAUGAUGACUCCAUAGGAAAUGCCUCCCACAGUGUACCGGGAUGUGCAACGAUCUAGCAUGGCGUAUGACGUUGAAACAUCUCGCUAGCUAUCUUACGAUCAUGCAAUGGUAAUAUGAGAGUGACGGCACAAGUCAUGAGACAGAACGGUGGGAGUUGCAUGGCAAUAUAUCUCAGAAUGGCUAUGAAAAUGCCAUAGUAGGUAGAUAUGGUGGCUGUUUUGAGGAAGGAAUUUGGUGGGUUUGUGCACCGGCGAGAAUUGCGCGGUACUAAAGAGGCUAGCAAUGGUGGAAGGUGAAAGUGCAUCUAUACCAUGGGCUCACAUUAGUCAUCAAGAACUCACAUACUUAUUGCGAAAGUUUUUAUUAGUAAUCAAAACAAAGUACUAAACGCAUACUCCGAGGGGAAGGGUUGGUAGGUGUAAACCAUCGCGCGAUCCGGACCUCAACACAAAGGAUGACAAUCAAUAGAUCAAUUAUGCUACGACUUCGUAAAAUAGCGGUUCACCAUACGUGCAUGCUACGGGAAUCACUAACUCCAACACAAGUAUCUCUAGAUUCACAACACCCUACUAACAUAACUCUCAAUAUUACCGAAUCCACGUCUCAAGACUAAUUGAGAGGAAUCGAAACUUCUCUUUCUACUCAAUGCACAUGUAGAUGGAAUUUUUUGCAUCCUCUUUGGGUACCUAGUACAUUUGGGACUACUUUCAUAGCAUAAGCCAACUACCAAAUCACGCACCGCCGUGCUCUAAAGAUAUAAGUGAAGCACAAGAGCAAAAGUAUCUAGCUCAAAAGGUAUAAGUGAAGCACUAUGAGCAUUCUAGCAAAAUCACGAUGAGUGCAUGUCUCUCUCUCUCAAAAAGGUGUGCAGCAAGGAUGAUUGUGACCAAACAAAAAUAAAAGACUCCUAUGAUACAAGACGCUCCAAGCAAAACACAUAUCAUCUGGUGAAUAAAAAUAUAGCUCCAAGUAAUGUUACUGAUGGAUUGAAGACGAAAGAGGGGAUGCCUUCCCGGGGCAUCCCCAAGCUUAGGAUUUUUGGUGUCCUUGAAUUUGGCUUGGGAUGCCUUGGGCAUCCCCAAGCUUGAGCUCUUUCCACUCCUUAUCUCUUUGUCCAUGAGAACAUCACCCAAAACUUGAAAACUUCACAACACAAAACUUAAACAGAAACUUGUGAUAACAUUAGUACAAGAAAACAAACUACCACUUCUUCUGGUACUGUAGGAACCUUGAAUUCCAUCUAUAUUGAUGAUGGGAUACUGUAUUCUCACUUUCCCAUGGCUAGUACCCCCUGAUACUAACCAUAGUUUCAUCAAAAAAGCAACCAACUCAACAAAAACAGAAUGUGUCAAAAACAGACCACACUGUAGCAAUAUGUAUACUUCGUAUACUUCUGGUACCUCAAAAAAUCUGAAAAAUUACGACGGCCUAGUCAAAAAGCAUAUCAAUCAGCAGCAAAAAGAAUCAACUCAAAAUCUCUUUCUUAAUAAAAAUGAAAAAUCAUCUCGUGAGCAAAAAGUUUCUGUCUUUUUCCAGCAGGAUCAAACAACCAUUACCAAGACUAGUCAUAAAGGCUUUGCUUGGCUCAAACAAAAAAGAAACUCAAAAAACACAAUCACAUAAGAAUUAUGAUGGUGUGGAUGCAACAAAACAGAAAGAAAAAAGAUAAUUCAUUGGGUUGCCUCCCAACAAGCGCUAUUGUUUAACGACCUUAGCUAGGCAUUGAUAAUUCAAUGAUGCUCACACAAAAGACAAGAAUUGAAGCACAACGAGAGCAUCAUAAAGCAUGUGAAAAUCACAUCUAAGUCUAACAUACUUCCUAUGCAUAGGCAUUUUAUAGGAAAACAGAUUGUCAAGACAACCAAUAGUUACCAUAUGCAAGGAAGAAGAAAGAGACAAUAGUAGUCUCCACAUAACGAGAGGUAAUUUGGUAACAUGAAAGUUUCUACCACAAUAUUUCCUUCUCUCAUAGAAAUUACAUGUGGGAUCAUAUUCGAAUUCAACAAUGUAACUAUCAAUAGGAUAUUCUUUUCAUGAUCCACAUGCAUGCAAAGUUGACGCUCUUCAAAAAUAGUGGGAUUAUCAUCAACUAAAGUCAUGACUUCUCCAAACCCACUUUCAAUAAAAUUGCAAAUAUCAUAUUCAUCAUGAGGCUUAAACAAAUUUUCAAGAUCAUAAGAAAAAUCAUCGCCCCACUCAUGAUCAUUGCAACAAGUAGUGGACAUAGCAAAACUAGCAUCCCCUAGAUUACGGUUUUGCAUAUUUUUAGCAUGAUUGUCACUAAUAGAAUUUAUAGUGAAACCAUUGCAAUCAUGCUUUUCAUCCAAGGAGCCCUCGUGAAUCACUUCAUAAAUUUCUUCCUCACAAUUUUCAGAUUCACGCAUCUCAAGCAAAACUCCAUAAAGAUAGUCAAGUGCACUCAACUCACUAGCAAUUGGAUCAACAUAACUCGAUCUCUUAAAGAGAUUAGCAAGUGGAUGAGGAUCCAUAUCACUAGAUUUUCAGCAAGCGAAGAUGCAAGCAUAUUGAAGGCACAUGGCACACAAGCGAACAGAAAGCAAGUGAGAGAAAAGGGCGAACGAAAAAGGCAAAAGAAAAAAGGCAAAUAGGUGAAGUGGGGGAGAGGAAAACGAGAGGCAACUAGCAAACAAAGUAAAUGCAAGAGCUGAGUUUGCGACACUUACUUGGAUGAGUUCUUGACUUGAUCUUCCUCCUCGGCAAUGGCGCCAGAAAUACUUGUGCUAUCCCACAGACAACAGCGUCAGAAAUUGACACGUUGACAGAGGCUGGGCUUGCGUUGGUUUUUCCCUUGAAGAGGAAAGGGUGAUGCAGCACAGGAGCAGUAAGUAUUUCCCUCAGUUUGAGAACCAAGGUAUCGAUCCAGAAGGAGAGUCUCGUCAAGUCUAGAGUACCUGCACAAACACAAACAAGCUUGCACCCAACGCUUCAAAGGUGUUGUCAAUCCCUUCAAGAUUGUUUGCAAAGUGAGAUCUGAAGGCGGAAAGUGCAACGAAGUAAAAAGUGUAAGGCUGAAAAUAUGGUGUGGAGUAGACCCUGGGGGCCGUAGUGUUCACUAGAGGCUUCUCUCAAAAUAGCAAGUGUUACGGUGGGUGAACAAAUUACUGUCGAGCAAUUGAUAGAACCGCGCAAAGUCAUGACGAUAUCUAAGGCAAUGAUCAUACAUAUAGGCAUCACGUCCGAGACAAGUAGACCGAUACUUUCUGCAUCUAAUACUAUUACUCCACACAUCGACCGCUAUCCAGCAUGCAUCAGUGUAUUGAGUUCAUGACAAACAGAGUAACGCUUUAAGCAAGAUGACAUGAUGUAGAGGGAUAAUCUCAAACCAAUGA
rnacentral:lncRNA from 1 species